GGUUCAUUUUUGGUGUGUAGAAAUUAUACACUUUUCAAGCCAUACACUAAAGUUUAUUUUCAUAAGUUGCAACCCGCUUGCAGCGUUUUUCAAUGCACAGAUCGUCUACACAGAUGCUGAGCUCCUGGAGAUGACUGGACCAAAGCGGAGGGGG